UGCGUAGGUGGUUUUGAAAGUCAGGUGUGAAAUCCCAGGGCUUAACCUUGGAAUUGCGCUUGAAACUUUAAGACUAGAGUCCUGUAGAGGGUAGUGGAAUUUCCAGCGUAGCGGUGAAAUGCGUAGAUAUUGGAAGGAACAUCAGUGGCGAAGGCGGCUACCUGGACAGAGACUGACACUGAGGCACGAAAGCGUGGGGAGCAAACAGGAUUAGAUACCCUGGUAGUCC
rnacentral:rRNA from 1 species